UACGUAGGGUGCAAGCGUUGUCCGGAAUUAUUGGGCGUAAAGAGCUUGUAGGCGGUUUGUCGCGUCUGCUGUGAAAUUUCGGGGCUCAACCCCCGAACUUGCAGUGGGUACGGGCAGACUAGAGUGUGGUAGGGGGAGACUGGAAUUCCUGGUGUAGCGGUGAAAUGCGCAGAUAUCAGGAGGAACACCGAUGGCGAAGGCGGGAUCCUGGGCCCAGUACUG
rnacentral:rRNA from 1 species